AAAAAGUCAGACCAAAAUAAAAAACACAAGAUGAAUGAUUCCAUCUAUAAAAACUUCUGGAAAAUGCAAGUCAAUCAAUAGUAAUAUAAAGUGGGUCAAUGUUUGCCUGAGGACAGAAGAGAAGGGGGAGGAUUGAUUCAGGGAAGGGUUACCGACGGGUACAAUUACUUCGGGAAGUGAUGGAUAUUUUUAUUGUCUUGAUUGUGGUGAUGCUGAUUGUGGUAUAUGUCAACAUAUAUCAACUGUACAACUUAAAUAUGAGUAGUUUGUGUGUGUUCAGUCGUGUCUGCCUCUUUGCAGCUCCGUGGACUGUAGCCUGCCAGGCUCCUCUGUCUAUGGGAUUUUCCCAGCAAGAAUACUGGAGUGGAUUGCCAUUUCCUCCUCCAGAUUCUUUACCAUUGAGCCACCUUGGAACCUACGAGUCGUUUACUUGCCUCUUCUUGCAGCGGAGGGGGGUUACACCGUGUUCACUGAAGCCUGACUCAGCCAUGUGGAAGGUGAGUGGAGUGACAGGUGUCACUGUUAAGUAGAAGCUUUGAGAUUCUGUGUCUUUUUUUGUCAUCUCCCUUUUUUUCUUUGCCAUUAGACUAACAACAUCCCAGACUGAGGCUGUCCAGUCAAUCUGGGACUAAAAAAAAAAAAUACAGAGGAAAGUCAUAGCCAUGAAUGAACACGUAUGAGACCUGAGAUUUGAGGAACAUAUGUUACACAAAGUAAGCUAGUCUAAAUCAGCUAACGUACCACUUGAAGACAGCGGAGUUAACAGAGGUGAAGGAGAUGCCAGCUAUUAAGUGGCAAAGCUGAAACGAUAGUUAACUCUGUCCUAUUCUACGAAUAAAUUGUGUGAUCUUGACCUUUGUGUUGCUUUCUCUACAGUUCUGGCUCCAUGAGAUUUUCCUGUAUUCUGCGGAGACUCCUCUAAAAUAACAACAAUGAACUGAAACAGACUCACAGACUUAGAGAACAAACUUAUAGUUGCUAGGGUGAAGGGUGUGGGGGGGGGUGAAGGACAGUUAGGGAAUUUGAAAUGGAUGUGUACACACUGUUAUAUUUAAAAUGGAUAACCAACGAGGACCUAUUUUAAAGCACAGG
rnacentral:lncRNA from 1 species